rnacentral:rRNA from 1 species
CCUACGGGAGGCAGCAGUGAGGAAUAUUGGUCAAUGGACGAGAGUCUGAACCAGCCAAGUAGCGUGAAGGAUGACUGCCCUACGGGUUGUAAACUUCUUUUAUAUAGGAAUAAAGUGAGGCACGUGUGCCUCUUUGUAUGUACUUUAUGAAUAAGGAUCGGCGAAAUUCGUGCCAGCAGCCGCGGUAAUACGGAGGAUCCGAGCGUUAUCCGGAUUUAUUGGGUUUAAAGGGAGCGUAGGUGGGUUUUUAAGUCAGUUGUGAAAGUUUGCGGCUCAACCGUAGAAUUGCAGUUGAAACUGGAAGUCUUGAGUGCAGUUGAGGAAGGCGGAAUUCAUGGUGUAGCGGUGAAAUGCUUAGAUAUCACGAAGAACUCCGAUUGCGAAGGCAGCUUACUGGGCUGCCACUGACGUUGAGGCUCGAAAGUGUGGGUAUCAAACAGGAUUAGAUACCCGUGUAGUC